UAUGGAUGGUUGAGAUUCGUUCACCCAGUUGUCACAGGAAACUCGGCACGGGCUCAACCGGUAACCCAAAAGACCAAUAGCCCGUAGUAGAGAGAGAGAGAGAGUUUUUUGGAGGAGAGAGAUGGCACGCACAGCAGAUAAACCAGUGAGAGAGAAAAAGAGUACGCAAAUGUAAAAGUGGGAGAGAGGGGGCUUCUUGGAGGAGAGAGAGAGCACGCAGAGCAGACAAAUUAGUGAUAUAGAAAGAGAGAGCAUGCAGUGUACAGUGCAGAGAAACCGGAUUGAAGAAGCUUUGUUUGUUGAUGAAGUAAUACAGAGGUCCCAGUUUCAGAUUGCAUAUACCCAAGCCUCAGAUUUAUCUCUCAGGUCCGACGUAGAAAUUCCCACAAUAGAGCCCGAAGCUGAGCAAAACAAUAUGAAGACUUCGCUACGUGUGGUCCCAUCGUAAGAAAUAAGAAGGUGCCAUUUGUGGUAAAGCCAAAGGAGUUUUAUCCUGCUGUUAGGCUCCUUUGCACCACCCGAAAGCUGCAAAAAAAAAAAAA